rnacentral:rRNA from 1 species
UUGGAGGGCAAGUCUGGUGCCAGCAGCCGCGGUAAUUCCAGCUCCAAUAGCGUAUAUUAAAGUUGUUGCAGUUAAAAAGCUCGUAGUUGAAUUUCGGGGUUCUACCGUUGGUCGGGCUUUGUCUGUACUGGUGUGUAGAAUUUCUACCUUCUGGGGAACCAUCAUGCUAUUAAUUUAGCGUGGUGGGAAACCAAGACCUCUACCUUGAAAAAAUUAGUGUGUUCAAAGCAGGCUUAUGUCUGAAUACAUUAGCGUGGAAUAAUAGAAUAGGACGGUGGUCCUGUUUUGUUGGUUUCUGAAUCACCGUAAUGAUUAAUAGGGAUAGUUGGGGGCAUUAGUAUUCAAUUGUCAGAGGUGAAAUUCUUGGAUUUAUUGAAGACUAACUUCUGCGAAAGCAUUUGCCAAGGAUGUUUUCAUUAAUCAAGAACGAAAGUUAGGGGAUCGAAGACGAUCAGAUACCGUCGUAGUCUUAACCAUAAACUAUGCCGACUAGGGAUCGGACGAUGUUAAUUUUUCUUGACUCGUUCGGCGCCUUACGGGAAAC